rnacentral:lncRNA from 1 species
UGCUCUCUACCUGCAACAAGCAUCAAGGGAGAAACUUUCCAAGGUAGCCUUGUGCCAAAACCAGAGAGGUUUUAAUAAAACCGACGCCUACAUGUACGAAUUCGAAAAUUUAUGAUUUAAAUGACCAUCGUCAUUGUACUUUGCGCAACAACUGAUAUCUAUAUGUUGGAAUUUGUACUGUGUCUUAUAGGGGCUAGACGUUGGAAGCACGGACAUGGGAGGG